rnacentral:rRNA from 1 species
UAAAGCAAAGAAGAGCGCAGAGUGAAUGCCUUGGCAUUGGGAGCCGAAGAAGGACGCGGUUAACUGCGAUAAGCUGCGGGGAGCUGUAAGCAAGCUUUGAUCCGCAGAUUUCCGAAUGGAGCAAUCCGCAUGAAGUAGUUCAUGCAUCCAUACGUGAAUUCAUAGCGUAUGGAGGGGAACCGCCUGAACUGAAACAUCUAAGUAGGGCGAGGAAGAGAAAUCAACCGAGAUUCCGUAAGUAGUGGCGAGCGAACGCGGAAGAGGCCAAACCGAGAGAAGAAAUUCUUUCGGGGUUCGGACUGCAUUUAGCAUUCUUAAUCUUUAGUCGAACAGUCUGGGAAGGCUGACGAGAAAGUGUGAGAGUCACGUAGACGAAAAGGAGAAAGAGCGAGCAGAAUCCAGAGUACCGCGGGGCACGUGAAAUCCCGUGGGAAGAUGGGGGGACCACCCUCCAAGCCUAAAUACUACCCAAUGACCGAUAGCGUAAAGUACUGUGAAGGAACGGUGAAAAGAACCCCGGGAGGGGAGUGAAAAGAACCUGAAACUCUGUGCUUACAAGCACAUAGAGCACGUCAAAGUGUGAUAUGGUACCUUUUGUAGAAUGGUCCGGCGAGUUAUGGUAUGCAGCGUGGUUAAGGACUUGAGGUCUGAAGCCGAAGCGAGAGCGAGUCUGACAAGGGCGAGAAGUUGUAUGCCAUAGACCCGAAACCGGGUGACCUAGCCAUGUCCAGGCUGAAGUGGAGGUAAAACUCCAUGGAGGGCCGAACCGACCUCCGUUGAAAAGGCGGCGGAUGAGAUGUGGCUAGCGGAGAAAUUCCAAUCGAACCCGGAUAUAGCUGGUUCUCCCCGAAAUAGCUUUAGGGCUAGCGUUGUAUUAGAUUACCGGAGGUAAAGCACUGAAUGGGCUAGGGGCUGAGAAGUUACUGAACCCUAUCAAACUAAGAAUGCCGGAUAAUUGAUGUACAGCAGUCAGACUAUGUGAGAUAAGUCUCAUAGUCAAAAGGGAAACAGCCCAGACCCACAGCUAAGGUCCCAAAAUGGAUUUAAGUGGAAAAGGAUGUGGAAUUGCACAGACAACCAGGAUGUUGGCUUAGAAGCAGCCAUACAUUAAAAGAGUGCGUAAUAGCUCACUGGUCGAGUGACUCUGCGCCGAAAAUUCAACGGGGCUAAAAUUCAUACCGAAGCUUGGGCUUGACAGAAAUGUCAGGGGUAGGGGAGCGUCGUAUAUGAGGUGAAGUCAUAGCGGAAGCGGUGGUGGAUUGUAUACGAGUGAGAAUGCCGGAAUGAGUAGCGAGAAUUAUGUGAGAAUCAUAAUGGCCGAAAGUCUAAGGUUUCCUGAGGAAGGUUCGUCCGCUCAGGGUUAGCCGGGAGCUAAGGUGAGGCGGAAACGCGUAGCCGAUGCACAUACGGUAGAAAUUCCGUAGCCUCCGAAAAUUUAAACACAGGGACACUUUUGAAGGGCUGAGCCGGGCGUUGGUUGCCCCGGUUGUAAGGGACGCGAUUGAGCGGAAGUCAGUUUGGAGAGAGGCGAGAAAAGCUGUGUGGAUAUGGAAGGAGCCCGUACCGCAAACCGACACAGGUAGACAGGAAGAAGAUUCUAAGGCCAGCGGGAGAAAGGUUGUUAAGGAACUCGGCAAGUUGACCCCGUAACUUCGGGAGAAGGGGUGCUUACGAAGGUAAGCCGCAGAGAAUAGGCCCAAGCGACUGUUUAGCAAAAACACAGCUCUAUGCUAAAUCGAAAGAUGACGUAUAUGGGGUGACACCUGCCCGGUGCUGGAAGGUUAAGAGGAGAUGUGAGAGCAUUGAAUUGAAGCCCCAGUAAACGGCGGCCGUAACUAUAACGGUCCUAAGGUAGCGAAAUUCCUUGUCAGGUAAGUUCUGACCCGCACGAAUGGUGUAACGAUUUGGGCACUGUCUCAACAACCUACCCGGCGAAAUUGUAGUACCGGUGAAGAUGCCGGUUACCUGCGACUAGACGGAAAGACCCCAUGGAGCUUCACUGCAGCUUAAUAUUGAAUUUUGGUAUUUCAUGUACAGGAUAGGUGGGAGACUGGGAAAUACAGGCGUCAGCUUGUGUGGAGUCGUUGUUGGGAUACCACUCUUGAAGUGCUGAAAUUCUAACCUGUGGCCUUGAAUCAGGUCAGGGGACAUUGUUAGGCGGGCAGUUUGACUGGGGCGGUCGCCUCCUAAAAGGUAACGGAGGCGCUCAAAGGUUCGCUCAGCAUGGACGGAAACCAUGCCAGAGAGUGUAAACGCAAAAGCGAGCCUAACUGCGAGACUGACGGGUCGAGCAGUAACGAAAGUUGGAGUUAGUGAUCCGGCGGUAUGUGAGUGGAAAUGCCGUCGCUCAACGGAUAAAAGCUACCCUGGGGAUAACAGGCUGAUCUCCCCCAAGAGUCCACAUCGACGGGGAGGUUUGGCACCUCGAUGUCGGCUCAUCGCAUCCUGGGGCUGUAUUCGGUCCCAAGGGUUUGGCUGUUCGCCAAUUAAAGCGGUACGCGAGCUGGGUUCAGAACGUCGUGAGACAGUUCGGUCCCUAUCUGUCGUGGGCGUUGGAGAUUUGAAAGGAGCUGUCCCUAGUACGAGAGGACCGGGAUGGACGCACCUCUGGUGCACCAGUUGUCACGCCAGUGGCACAGCUGGGCAGCUAUGUGCGGAUCGGAUAAACGCUGAAAGCAUCUAAGCGUGAAGCCGGCCUUAAGAUAAGAUAUCCCACUGAGAUAAUCAGGUAAGACCCCUUGAAGACUACAAGGUUGAUAGGCUCAAAGUGUAAGCACGGUGACGUGUUCAGCUAGCGAGUACUAAUCGGUCGAGGGCUUGACCAC